rnacentral:tRNA from 1 species
GGGGUGAGGCUUAGUGGUAGGUAGAGCACUCGCCUAGCAUGUGUGAGGCCCUGGGUUCAAUUCUGAGUACUGCA